rnacentral:rRNA from 1 species
AGUGAACGCUGGCGGUAGGCCUAACACAUGCAAGUCGAACGGCAGCACAGUAAGAGCUUGCUCUUACGGGUGGCGAGUGGCGGACGGGUGAGGAAUACAUCGGAAUCUACUUUUUCGUGGGGGAUAACGUAGGGAAACUUACGCUAAUACCGCAUACGACCUACGGGUGAAAGCAGGGGAUCUUCGGACCUUGCGCGAUUGAAUGAGCCGAUGUCGGAUUAGCUAGUUGGCGGGGUAAAGACCCACCAAGGCGACGAUCCGUAGCUGGUCUGAGAGGAUGAUAGGCCACACUGGAGCUGAGACACGGUCCAGACUCCUACGGGAGGCAGCAGUGGGGAAUAUUGGACAAUGGGCGCAAGCCUGAUCCAGCCAGACCGCGUGGGUGAAGAAGGCCUUCGGGUUGUAAAGCCCUUUUGUUGGGAAAGAAAAGCAGCAGGUUAAUACCCCGCUGUUCUGACGGUACCCAAAGAAUAAGCACCGGCUAACUUCGUG